GCAUAUUUUCGAUCGAAAUUGAAAAAUAAUAACCACAGACAGCUUUAUCAGUGUUCAAAUAAUGCUCCAGUCAUUGGUUGGACAUAUUCGGAAGGUGGAGAAGACAACAGCAUUAUUUGGCCACGAUAUAUACCAUCUGUUCGCGUGAGGUGGGAAAAGUCCAGCUUUCGAACCGGUAUCACGCGAGCUACAUUUUUAUUACUUUUUCAUUAGCGUAAUCAUCAUCGAUAGCCUUGGUCAUGCAUCCGAACAGGAGAAGCCGCUUUUUUAUGGGCUCGUUGUUGAACCAUCCAGCUCGUCUUGACCUUUCUCUAUCUCUCUCUCUCUACCUACGUCUCUAUCUCUUUCUUUAUCUCACUGUUUCUCUUUCUUUCUUUUUUGUAAUAGACUUGGUUGCACCCUCUAAACCAUGGAUCUACUACCGUUCGACCGAUUUCGAAAGGACAGAAGAAUGGUUUUAAUGGGAAAUAAAUCUGUUCAUUAAAAAUUAGCAAUUAUUACUCUUCCUUCUCUCUAACCUUUCUCAAUCGGCUCGGUAUAAAGUUGAAAACUGUCUGCGAACCUGCGGACCGGAAGCAUGUGAUUCAUAUUCGCUUAAGAUGCCGCGAAAGAAUGUUGAUAUUAAGUAUUCGUUCGUUGCCUCGUCGUCACUCUCUAAUUGUAGAACAUAACUUAAGAAUACUAUACAUGAUGUGUACCUAGCAUCAAAUUAGAGUUUAAUCAAUGUAAUCGAAAAAGGACGCGAUAAACAAAUAUAUAAGCUUAAAUAAUAUCAAUUAUUGUUUAAGCAACAUUUUUCGAUUGAAGCUUUAAUAGUAACAUUUUGAAAAUGCAUACAUGUAUCAAUAAAGUUUUAUUGUAUUAUUAAUACAAUACUGAAUCACAAAUUCCUGUUAGCAUAAAUAUAAUCUGUGAUUAGCAUAAGCGAAAAUGAGGGAAGACACAUAAUUCUAUAAUGAUUUAUCAUCAGUGCUUUAAUAUGUAACCUGAUCCGGAAGUAUAGCGAUAACGAUAUCGAGGAAGAAGAAAAAAAACUCAACAUACCAAAAACACAUAUUCGACUGCGGCAAAUUGAUUAAUUCUUCAAUAUAUCACGCAUAUCAUCAGGAGAGAUAAUAGAUUCACAUAUUCCCAUCAGGAGGGAAAAAAGCCCACACAGACCAACGCACCUGUGGCCUCCAAAAGUGAUAGUCCGACAUGAUAAAUCUAUUUCCAUCCACUUUGGAUUCAUGCGCAUUUCAGCUACGAUCACUACGCUACAACGAAAAGCUUUGCGUGUUUGUCUUCGUUUUAUGUUACCAACAGCUUUCUUCAUGAAUGGUGAGUACACACCAAAAAUUUCUCAAAAACAAGGCAAUAAUAGAGGAAUACUGCAAAGAACAUCUCAACCAACAAACUCAAUCAGUUUGUAACUGUCAGUUCCUAGUGACAGCUUCCUGCCAGCGAGAAAGACAAGAACUCGGGAACGAUUUUUUUCAUCACUUAGUCAGCAAUAUUUUGCACCUGAUGUGAAUAAAAAGAAAUCACCCAUUUAUAGUUUAAACAUGUCUACGAAAUAAAAAAAAAAUACGAAAAAACGUGGAAACCCAUUCCUUCAUUUUUGCCCGGAAUAAGUACGGAAAAUCAUUGAGCAUAAGUCAUAAACUAGAAGGAAACCCUUCCUGUGUAAGAAAAAUGAAGAAUCACUAUUGAAAAGUCAUGCAAAAAACAUGCGAUUUUCCAUGCCGCAUGAGAAGUGAUGAGAAUAGUACAAACAGGACACUCCUAGAUAGCUGCAAUAUUUGUGGGUACAAAUAUUGCACAGUCACAGUCAAAGGGUGGCUCUUGUUGGCAUGUAGAACAAAAAUGACUUGUAAGUUCGUCCUUUUUUUAAUGAUGGUUUGAUAGGAGGAACCAAAGAAAAAGGUUUGUCAUUUGAUAACGAUUUGUGUCUUACCAGAAAUUCUUGGAAGUUGAUGUUCUUCUUCUGGUAAGAAUAUUUCUUUUCAUGAUUGAAGAUUUAGAAUUCCUUCAGGAUAUUGUCAUGUUGUUAACAAGCGGUUCUGUUGAUUGCUUCAUACAUUGCUUUAUGUCUAGAUUCAACUAUUCUUGAAAAGGAAACUGAAUUUAGGAAAUACUUAAUCAGUUGUUAAAUUUAACAAAAUCAAUAAAAGCCAAUCAUACAUAAACAUUACAAACUAACCCAAAGCAAAUUUCAUCCUAAAUAAACAAAUUUCAACGCGACUUAGAAAAGUGAUUGCAAAAUUGAGCCAACACAUAGAACAUGUACAUCAAAUGCAGUAUUAAGAAGUCAUGAAUUUAAAUUGCCCAACUUGCCAUGCAUAAUGAGGUGGUUCAAUUGAAUAAUUUACAUCUUGAUCCGCUUUUUUCAAUAAGCCCUUAAAAUUGGUUAAGAGAAGAAUCUUAAUAUAUAGACGUUCUUAAAGUAUGCAUAUGCAAGUAUAUUGAACAGGUUGAGGUAUAUCCCAGUGUUUUUUGAUAAUCUUACGAUAUUUGAAAAACGUAGGUACGUGAAGGAGUGUUUUAAUAACGUAUGAGAAGUAAUGGUGUGUUUAUUCGUAUUUAUUCGUUAUUUGGAAAAUAAGGCCAGCUUAUUUUAUAGUUAACUAACCUUAUAGUUGUAAAGUUAGAUAAAAAAGCAGAUGAAUUGCCUCAAUUAUUCUUGGCACGGUUAUCCUAGAAACAAUUAUAUUAUCAUACGUAUCCGAAAGAGAGCCAGAAUUAGUUGAGCAGAAGAAAAGAAAUAUUUUUGUAUAAAAAUAAUCUACCCCAAGUAGAACAAAAAUAAUACUCAAAUAAACAAUGCUAUAUUUCUGACAAAAAUGUUAUUGAAGAAUGUUGGGAUAGAAGGUUAAGAAUGCGUCAAACCAUAAAAAAUUGUAAUGGAAUGUCAACAGAAUGGAUGGAAAAGGCAAAGGAUACAAAAAAAUUUAACAAACCUAUAUAUGAACGAGCGAAACCGAAACGAGGUAGAAUGGAUGAAUGCGAAACACAGUAGAGGGUGAAAAUCAAAAGUGGGCUCGUGAUUCAAAUGAUUCGUCGAAGGUUGGAAAAAAUGGCAGUACGAUGAGCUGAAUUAAGAAACUAAAUCAAAUUUAGAAGUUUAUGAAGGCGAGCCCAGCAGCACAACGAAAUAGAGCAGAAAAAGCAAAAGAUUUUACUUCACAAUAGUAUUCCUUUCCAUCAGUUACGCGAUUACUUCACGACUUUUACAUGAAAGCCUCCCGUUCUCUAUUGGUGUGUUGAAGUAAUACCGAAGAAGGGCGUUUUAUUAUCACAUUUUGGUUAGAAAUCAAUCGAAACGAUUUCAAUAUUCAAUCAAAACAGUGGUUUUAGAAGAACUUUUACAAUUUCCCAAAACCUCAACCACAAUCAGAAUGACGAUGCAUCAAUAUUGAAAAACUAACUGAUUUUUAGAAACGAAAUCCCAAGCGGUUCAAUUUAAAUCCCCAUGCACGUCCUUCUAUUGUUUGAGUUUGUAUGAAUGGAAUGUAGAUUCCAGAAGGAUGCACGAACUUGGGCUUAGAUCCGGGAAACCAAAACUGACGCCGGAAACAUCGAACCGUAUCGUUAACAAAGCAACAUUUGCACCCCCUCGGAAUGUGGGCCAUUUUGGAGGACCUUCAAUCAACAAAUCAACCAAUUCAAAAUGAGUGAAACUAGUGAAGCGUAACGAGACCGUUACUCCUUCCAACAAGCGAUUGAAAAGGAUCACUCUUGCCAACAAGAAAAACCGCUUUUACAGGGUUGAAGUGAGAGAAGACGGUGAGUGGAGUUUUGGAGCAUCACUUCGAGGGACAAGUUGGAUGUGCUUUUGCUUGUUGCGUUGUUAAUUAAAGUUUAUUCAGAUGUUUCUUUCCGUUUGCUCUGUAUUUUUUGCUGUUGUCAAUCUAAACCAUUUGCUGUGUUGUUUUGUGUUUGUCUGCACGAGUGUGGCCGUGGGGAUUCGUAACCAACUAAGGGUAACUGUGGAAUCUGGGAUAGCAUUGAUGCUUUUUGGGAGUGUUAAAAUUUUGUUCAACGAAUUGUUUAAGUUGAAAUCCAUUCGCAUAAAUUUUACGCUACUCUGAUAAGGGUUGCUCUCUGAGAGUUUUCUAGGAGUGAGGAUUCAAUGAACAUGACAUUGAUUGGACCAUUAGCUUACCGAGUACCGAGCUGAUUAAAUGAAAGAAUGGAUAAUAAGUUUGAUAUCUUAAUUAAGUAAAACUUGUUGAUUGAUAAAACUAAACAUUGAUUGUGUUACGUAAGGCCAAGUGAAGAUUUUGGGAUUUUGCUUUUGAAUUGCUAAGGACGGAAAGAAACAUCCGAAUAAACUUUAAUUAUCAACGCAACAAGCAAAAGCACAUCCAACUUAAUCCAUGAAUUGAUGUUUGACAUUACAUUUAUUUCUCCAAACACAAACAAAACUAUUCAACUGUUAACAUAUUUCAAUAGUUCAAGUUAUCUCUAUUUGAAAUAGAGAUGUGCAAAGUGAGUAAGAGUAAGAUAGUGAGUUGAAACGUUGUAUUGAACGAGUUUCGUUCACUCACCACGAUGAGUUUUAGUGACUCUUUUUUCACUUACUCACUCAUGAGUGUAAGUAUGAAGCCGUGGUGAGUCGAGUUGCAAAAAGAGUAAAUACGUGAGUUGAAACGAAAAUGUGCGAGUGAGUUGAAACGAAAAUGAGUUGAAACGAAACGUUUGAUACACAUGAGUUUAGACGGAAUACAUGUGUACAAUACCCAAACUAGCCAAAUAAAUAUACUUCUCGCUCUGCCUAACUAUCAAACCUGCAUAAGCGAACAAGCGGGAUAGUGUGAUCGGGAAGGAUAUUAAACGGGAUCCGUCUCUGCUUAAGAGAUUAGCAAAUUUUUAGAAUUUUUAUUAAUAUUUUUUUUUAUUUUUUUAUUUAAAGCAUUAUUUGAGUAAAAAACACUUAUUUCAACCAAUUCGCAUUAAAUUAAAUCAAUGUAUAAAAUUUUGAUAAAUAAAUCAAAAAAAACGUAAGGCUUUUUUGAAAUUUUGAACUCGAAAAUUUCGAGUGGAACAUUUUUUUGAAUUUUUUUUCUGAUUUUUUAUUCUUUUUUUAAUUUAAAGCACUAUUUAAGUGAAAAGAAAAUAUAUCGCAUUUAAAAUUUUUGCUACAUUGCUCAAAAAUGAGGAAAAUUUUACAUUUUCUCAAACAGGGUAAGGAACUUGGUUCCUCGAAUAACUUCUGGCACAGACAUCUAAGGGCAUGGCUCUCCAAGAAGAAAAUGUAGCCAUUGGUGCCAUCUAUCGACCACAGGUUAAAGAUUGGCGAUCCGUUGGAUACCGACCGAGUUAUAGGCAAAACUUGGUGCAAAAAUGAGGAAAGUUUUACAUUUUCUCAAACAGGGUAAGGAACUUGGUUCCUCGAAUAACUUCUGGCACAGACAUCUGAGGGCAUGGCUGUCCAAGAAGAAAAUGUAGCCAUUGGUGCCAUCUAUCGACCACAGGUUAAAGAUUGGCGAUCCGUUGGAUACCGACCGAGUUAUAGGCAAAACUUGGUGCAAAAAUGAGGAAAAUUUUCAUUUUUUUUUUAAUUUUUUGAUUUAUUUAUUAUUUUUCACUCUUUUUUUUAUUUCAAGCAUUAUUAGAGUGAAAAGAAACUCAUUGCAACCCAUUGGCAUUAAAAUAAAACAAUUUAAUUUUUUUUGCAAAAUUUCCCAAAAAAAUCGUAAGGGGUAAGCCUUAUGAAAUUUUCGAGUGGAAUUUUUUUUUGAAAUUUUUUUCUGAUUUUUUAUCCUUUUUUUAAUUUAAAGCACUAUUUAAGUGAAAAGAAACUUAUUGCAACAAAUUCCCAUCAAAAUAUAUCACAUUUAAAAUUUUUGCUACAUUGCUCAAAAAUGAGGAAAAUUUUACAUUUUCUCAAACAGGGUAAGGAACUUGGUUCCUCGAAUAACUUCUGGCACAGACAUCUAAGGGCAUGGCUGUCCAAGAAGAAAAUGUAGCCAUUGGUGCCGUCUAUCGACCACAGGUUAAAGAUUGGCGAUCCGUUGGAUACCGACCGAGUUAUAGGCAAAACUUGGUGCAAAAAUAAGGAAUAUUUUACAUUUUCUCAAACAGGGUAAGGAACUUGGUUCCUCGAAUAACUUCUGGCACAGACAUCUGAGGGCAUGGCUGUACAAGAAGAAAAUGUAGCCAUUGGUGCCAUCUAUCGACCACAGGUUAAAGAUUGGCGAUCCGGUGGAUACCGACCGAGUUAUAGGCAAAACUUGGUGCAAAAAUGAGGAAAAUUUUCAUUUUUUUUUUAAUUUUUUGAUUUAUUUAUUAUUUUUCAAUCUUUUUUUUAUUUCAAGCAUUAUUAGAGUGAAAAGAAACUCAUUGCAACCCAUUGGCAUUAAAAUAAAACAAUUUAAUUUUUUUUUCAAAAUUUCCCAAAAAAAUCGUAAGGGGAAAGCCUUAUGAAAUUUUCGAGUGGAAAUUUUUUUUGAAAUUUUUUUCUGAUUUUUUAUUCUUUUUUUAAUUUAAAGCACUAUUUAAGUGAAAAGAAACUUAUUGCAACAAAUUCCCAUCAAAAUAUAUCACAUUUAAAAUUUUUGCUACAUUGCUCAAAAAUGAGGAAAAUUUUACAUUUUCUCAAACAGGGUAAGGAACUUGGUUCCUCGAAUAACUUCUGGCACAGACAUCUAAGGGCAUGGCUGUCCAAGAAGAAAAUGUAGCCAUUGGUGCCAUCUAUCGACCACAGGUUAAAGAUUGGCGAUCCGUUGGAUACCGACCGAGUUAUAGGCAAAAUUUGGUGCAAAAAUGAGGAAAAUUUUCAUUUUUUUUGAAUUCUUUGAUUUAUUUAUUAUUUUUCACUCUUUUUUUUAUUUCAAGCAUUAUUAGAGUGAAAAGAAACUCAUUGCAACCCAUUGGCAUUAAAAUAAAACAAUUUAAUUUUUUUUGCAAAAUUUCCCAAAAAAAUCGUAAGGGGUAAGCCUUAUGAAAUUUUCGAGUGGAAAUUUUUUUUGAAAUUUUUUUCUGAUUUUUUAUUCUUUUUUUAAUUUAAAGCACUAUUUAAGUGAAAAGAAACUUAUUGCAACAAAUUCCCAUCAAAAUAUAUCACAUUUAAAAUUUUUGCUACAUUGCUCAAAAAUGAGGAAAAUUUUACAUUUUCUCAAACAGGGUAAGGAACUUGGUUCCUCGAAUAACUUCUGGCACAGACAUCUAAGGGCAUGGCUGUCCAAGAAGAAAAUGUAGCCAUUGGUGCCGUCUAUCGACCACAGGUUAAAGAUUGGCGAUCCGUUGGAUACCGACCGAGUUAUAGGCAAAACUUGGUGCAAAAAUGAGGAAAAUUUUCAUUUUUUUUUUUUAAUUUUUUGAUUUAUUUAUUAUUUUUCACUCUUUUUUUUUUAUUUCAAGCAUUAUUAGAGUGAAAAGAAACUCAUUGCAACCCAUUGGCAUUAAAAUAAAACAAUUUAAUUUUUUUUGCAAAAUUUCCCAAAAAAAUCGUAAGGGGUAAGCCUUAUGAAAUUUUCGAGUGGAAAUUUUUUGUGAAAUUUUUUUCUGAUUUUUUAUUCUUUUUUUAAUUUAAAGCACUAUUUAAGUGAAAAGAAACUUAUUGCAACAAAUUCCCAUCAAAAUAUAUCACAUUUAAAAUUUUUGCUACAUUGCUCAAAAAUGAGGAAAAUUUUACAUUUUCUCAAACAGGGUAAGGAACUUGGUUCCUCGAAUAACUUCUGGCACAGACAUCUAAGGGCAUGGCUGUCCAAGAAGAAAAUGUAGCCAUUGGUGCCAUCUAUCGACCACAGGUUAAAGAUUGGCGAUCCGUUGGAUACCGACCGAGUUAUAGGCAAAACUUGGUGCAAAAAUGAGGAAAAUUUUACAUUUUCUCAAACAGGGUAAUGAACUUGGUUCCUCGAAUAACUUCUGGCACAGACAUCUGAGGGCAUGGCUGUCCAAGAAGAAAAUGUAGCCAUUGGUGCCAUCUAUCGACCACAGGUUAAAGAUUGGCGAUCCGUUGGAUACCGACCGAGUUAUAGGCAAAAUUUGGUGCAAAAAUGAGGAAAAUUUUCAUUUUUUUUGAAUUCUUUGAUUUAUUUAUUAUUUUUCACUCUUUUUUUUAUUUCAAGCAUUAUUAGAGUGAAAAGAAACUCAUUGCAACCCAUUGGCAUUAAAAUAAAACAAUUUAAUUUUUUUUGCAAAAUUUCCCAAAAAAAUCGUAAGGGGUAAGCCUUAUGAAAUUUUCGAGUGGAAAAUUUUUGUGAAAUUUUUUUCUGAUUUUUUAUUCUUUUUUUAAUUUAAAGCACUAUUUAAGUGAAAAGAAACUUAUUGCAACAAAUUCCCAUCAAAAUAUAUCACAUUUAAAAUUUUUGCUACAUUGCUCAAAAAUGAGGAAAAUUUUACAUUUUCUCAAACAGGGUAAGGAACUUGGUUCCUCGAAUAACUUCUGGCACAGACAUCUAAGGGCAUGGCUGUCCAAGAAGAAAAUGUAGCCAUUGGUGCCGUCUAUCGACCACAGGUUAAAGAUUGGCGAUCCGUUGGAUACCGACCGAGUUAUAGGCAAAACUUGGUGCAAAAAUGAGGAAAAUUUUCAUUUUUUUUUAAUUUUUUGAUUUAUUUAUUAUUUUUCACUCUUUUUUUUAUUUCAAGCAUUAUUAGAGUGAAAAGAAACUCAUUGCAACCCAUUGGCAUUAAAAUAAAACAAUUUAAUUUUUUUUGCAAAAUUUCCCAAAAAAAUCGUAAGGGGUAAGCCUUAUGAAAUUUUCGAGUGGAAAAUUUUUGUGAAAUUUUUUUCUGAUUUUUUAUUCUUUUUUUAAUUUAAAGCACUAUUUAAGUGAAAAGAAACUUAUUGCAACAAAUUCCCAUCAAAAUAAAUCACAUUUCAAAUUUUUGCUACAUUGCUCAAAAAUGAGGAAAAUUUUACAUUUUCUCAAACAGGGUAAGGAACUUGGUUCCUCGAAUAACUUCUGGCACAGACAUCUAAGGGCAUGGCUGUCCAAGAAGAAAAUGUAGCCAUUGGUGCCGUCUAUCGACCACAGGUUAAAGAUUGGCGAUCCGUUGGAUACCGACCGAGUUAUAGGCAAAAUUUGGUGCAAAAAUGAGGAAAAUUUUCAUUUUUUUUGAAUUCUUUGAUUUAUUUAUUAUUUUUCACUCUUUUUUUUAUUUCAAGCAUUAUUAGAGUGAAAAGAAACUAAUUGCAACCCAUUGGCAUUAAAAUAAAACAAUUUAAUUUUUUUUGCAAAAUUUCCCAAAAAAAUCGUAAGGGGUAAGUCUUAUGAAAUUUUCGAGUGGAAAUUUUUUUUGAAUUUUUUUUCUGAUUUUUUAUUCUUUUUUUAAUUUAAAGCACUAUUUAAGUGAAAAGAAACUUAUUGCAACCAAUUCCCAUCAAAAUAUAUCACAUUUAAAAUUUUUGCUACAUUGCUCAAAAAUGAGGAAAAUUUUACAUUUUCUCAAACAGGGUAAGGAACUUGGUUCCUCGAAUAACUUCUGGCACAGACAUCUAAGGGCAUGGCUGUCCAAGAAGAAAAUGUAGCCAUUGGUGCCGUCUAUCGACCACAGGUUAAAGAUUGGCGAUCCGUUGGAUACCGACCGAGUUAUAGGCAAAACUUGGUGCAAAAAUGAGGAAAAUUUUAAUUUUUUUUUAAUUUUUUGAUUUUUUUUAUUAUUUUUUACUCUUUUUUUAUUUCAAGCAAUAUUAGAGUGAAAAGAAACUCAUUGCAACCCAUUGGCAUUAAAAUAAAACAAUUUAAUUUUUUUUGCAAAAUUUCCCAAAAAAAUCGUAAGGGGUAAGCCUUAUGAAAUUUUCGAGUGGAAAUUUUUUUUGAAAUUUUUUUCUGAUUUUUUAUUCUUUUUUUAAUUUAAAGCACUAUUUAAGUGAAAAGAAACUUAUUGCAACAAAUUACCAUCAAAAUAUAUCGCAUUUAAAAUUUUUGCUACAUUGCUCAAAAAUGAGGAAAAUUUUACAUUUUCUCAAACAGGGUAAGGAACUUGGUUCCUCGAAUAACUUCUGGCACAGACAUCUAAGGGCAUGGCCGUCCAAGAAGAAAAUGUAGCAUUAAAAUAUAUCAAUUUAAAAAUUUUUGUUAAAUUAAAAAAAAAAAAGCUAAGGCCUUAGGAGAUUUGUUUCGAGGUUUUUUAUGACUCUAUGGUUUUAUGAGUCGUUAAGCGAGCUCACUCGUAAUAAGGACUCAUUAACUCUUAGUUGACUCACUUAAAAGGGUUGUAUUCUCAUCUUCUAUUUGAAACAAAAAUGGUUCUCGCACUUUCAACAAACAUUUUGCAUUCCGUUUAGAACGAGCGCUUUACUAUACUAUACAUUCAGAUCAAUGUCUAUUUUUCAUUUUAAUUUUUCACACAUAUGCAAAUGCUUUCAAUGCACUACUGCAAACAUCCUUAAAUACAAAUCACAACGAAAUGGAUCGUGCAUCACCUCACCACAAAACGGAGGUUGAGCAUUAGUUAAGAGUACGAUAGCGUCUUCGAAGCGGAACCAAUAAAUUUUCUCAUCUCGAACUCCAUUGCUUCACAAAGAUCUUGGGCAUGUUUCGAAAGGUUUACCUGCUUGAACAUGGAACAUACUAGUACAGAACCAAUUGAAGGUAGAGUUCUUUGGUAGAAUUGAGGCAUACAGUACUACGAUAUGUAAGCUUUCUUUCCAUUGGUUGGUUAAGAAAAAUUGUAACCAAUUUUUACCGAGUCAACAACACGUGUGUAAAUAAAUGUUAACUUUUACAUUUGAGGUAUACCAAUCGGUUGGGAAUAUGGGGAAGAGAUUGUAAGCUUUAUUGCCUUGAAGAGCUAUUGAGGAAAGGCGGAGAUCUUAAAAGCAUUGCACUCAAAUGCGUUGAUUGGUAUCAUAACAUUACCUCAUGCGUGCAAAGAGCAAUGAUAUUGAGUAUCGAUUGUAAUUAAACAAUAUGUUUUGUUUAUUAGUUCUAAUGAAGAACUUUUUUUCACAAACAAACAAAAUACAAUCAAAAUGUGUUGAGAAUAUUGAGCGCAUAAAACAUACUAAACAUGUGAGCUGAUAAUAACAUUUCGAUAUUAAUGUAUCCUCCUGAUACGCAUACCAUAAUUCUCCUCGCUCUAAAAACAUCCGGUCUAAUCAAUCAUUUAUAGAAAGCGCUUAGCAGGAUUGCCAAAUGUGUCAACUUAUCGAUUGUCAUAGCAAGGUAGCAAGGAACAUCCUUUAAGUAUAACACAAAUACGGAUCAUUUAUCAUUUUCUUUUCUACGCGCGUAUGUUUGCUAAAUGUUUGCCUUACGAGGUUUACUUUUGGUAAAAAAAUAGAUGAAGCAAGGCUCAUAAAGUUUUUAAUCCCACGUUGGAUGGGUAGUGAUGGCUGGUGGGUGAUUAAGGAAGAAAUGCUUUUAACGACAGGUUCUGAGUAGUCGGAGCGAUAUAGCAGCGCAUUCAAUAUUCAUAUUCAGUGAGGUGCUUAUGCGCAAAUUGUUUUCCAUGUAUGUUUUGAUUGAAGCACUCAAUCAUUUUUCUGGUGGAUAGUGGGUUGGUUUUUGGAAACUUUUCGAGUACCAUUAGUAAAAGAUGUAUGGUAAGUAACAGUCACGGUCAAUAUACAAAGGGAAUAUAUUUCCCUUAUAUUUAAGGUUAUGUAGGAGUACAUUUAAGCGUGAAAUGGUUUCUGGGUGUAUUUUUUGUAAUCAAAAAUUAAAACCCAAUUGAAUUAUUUUUAUAUCGGGAAAUUAUGGAGAGAAGGCAUUCAUCAAUACUUAUUCAUUAAUUAAUUGUGAAUAAAGAGUUUAGUUUUGAAUUGUUUGAUGAGCUUUAGAAAAAAUAGUAAAAUCAAAAUCAUUCUAAAUAUUUAAUAAAUUUCGAAGUCAUAAUUAACCAGGCGCCUCCAUCAUACACUUGUUAAAUGUCUCACAAGGUGAAACCGUGCUAGUAAUACAUAUUUUCAAGACGAUAAUAUCACAAUGUUUUGCUCUUUAAAACUAUCAAAUAUAGAUCAUUCUUUAGCUUACGUUACCCCUGAGGACUCGUAAUAAAUUGACUUCACUCCUUGUUAGUCGAAGAAUAGAAACACAACUAUAAAUCAGCGGCCACAAGUGGUUUCCCGUAUCAGGUUAUCCCGUAAUUGCACGAAUUAGAACGAUGGGAACAGAAAUACUCAAAGAGAAAUCCAGAAAAAUUACUUCAAUUACCAUUUUCGAACCAAUUCCUUGAACGGGCGCAACCAUACAUCGGUUUUCUUGUUUGCUGUUGUUUCUGGUGGCAAAAGUGAAAAUAAAUAAGAAAAUAAAGCAAAAGUGAAAUUCAUGAUACAACAGUUUACUGUUGUAAGAUGGUUUGCAAAAUAGAAACUGCUGGGAGAGUAAAACACAUUUUCGCUUCGCGAAAGAUAGGAAGUUAAUUUAAAGUUUGACAAACGAUUAGGUAGAAUGGAGAACUGAUGCAAAUUGAGUAAUAAUAUAAACACUUUCUAAUUAUCGCUUCAAGUUAAUUUCCUAUGUGAAUGCAUUGUUCAAAAACAAGCCAUAUAAGGAUGCAUUUCUACUAUUUUGAAAAUUUUCAAUUAGCGCAGGAUGGAAAGAUUCCAAUAUGCAUGACUCGAUAUAUUUUUCGACAGCUUUAAACCUUAUCCUACAGCUAUUCUAUUGGGAUUUCCCGAAUUUGGUCCGUGAGACAUGGAAACAGAACUUUUACCAACCGGUCAAAAAACCUGCACUGCAAACCAAUGGGUAAGCUGCGAGAGAGACGAACGGAAAAACCGUUUAAUUAAAUUUUAAUUAAUUAAAAAUUUAUCACUUUCUCGUCAUCGCUUCCUCUGUGGUGGGUGCUGAAGAGCAGUAUGCCAUGGAGCAUCGAACAAAAUGUACGUUCUCACGUACAAAAUGUCGAUCGUCACGACAAAAAGGUCAUGGAGAUGACGAUCCGUAGUGGUUGGUGCCGGAGCUGAGGUUUUGGAAAAUUGUCCUUACGCGAAAUGAGAAGUUUUGUUGUCGAAAUUUGGAGUGGGAUGGCUGUGUGCGGGGGACAAGGUGCCUGUGCUUCCUUGGUGCAGUGAAGCUAAAACUCCGACCGGUGGUAAAAAGAUAGAUGAGCGAAAGUUGGAAUUAGACAAUUGAAGCGAUGCUUCCGAUUACAGAAAACAAAGGCACCCAAUGACACACCGAACAGGAGGAUAAAUCGUUCUAGAUUGUGGUAAUGUGGUUUAUCUGCUUCACUUAACGCUGCCUCGAGAUGAUUGGAAAUGAACAAUUUUUGCAGCUGGACGAAGAUUUUUCAUUUCCGGUCGUAAGCCAAUGGCACAGUUAUAAAAUAUUAUUUUGCUAUUGACAAAUUUUCAUAAAUCUUCUUGCAACCAAUCAAAUACAAUUUGAAUCAUAAAAUUUUCAGAAUAUUGUUAGAAAAUAUUGAGUUUCUGCUUUAUUUUUUGUGUACUCUAUCAAACAAAUAUACUAAAGUGAGGGUUUUCGUUCACUAUCAUCUAUGUGAUCUUAUAUCAAAAUGAGGGAAAAUAGUUCCAUUCCUGAAGCGUAUUGCCAAAGUGUGUUUCUAUUUGUCUAUAUCUUUUGGCAGUAAAAUGGAUUGCAGAUUAUUGGUUCGUCUUUCCCAACCCCAAUCCGUUUACAAGUUCGUUAGUGUAUUUUGCCCAUAAAGAAAACCAUCAGGGUUUGUCUGUUCACUCAAAAUAUGCACAAAUUUUCCUUCCUUCCUUCCUUGGUAAUUAUCUUACGCGAGGGCGGAUUUGUAGAAGUUUUUACAUUAGUGGAUACAAGAGUUUCGUAUUUCGUUUCAUCUACUUUUACACAUUGCUUCUCGCCCGGAAGGUAAAAAUGCGAAGAUUGUCUUGCUGAUGGCAUUGAUGAAAUAGGAUUAGUGGCGUAAAAUGUUUUCCUAUCGCUUGGCCUGUAGGAAUAAAUUCAAUGUUUAGGACGCUAAGGAGCGGUUUACCAAAAAAGGUUGAUAUUAAAGAUGUAGGUUUAAAUUUAGCGAUUCUUAUUUCAAAAUGUUGGUUGGUUUAGAGAAAAUGGUUAUGGUUUAGAGAAAAUAUGUACAAAAUACUGUUCGGAACUGUAGUAGUUGUUAUAAUG